GUAUCUCAUGGACAAACCAUAAACAAUGAACAGUGUGUGGGCAGAUUGGCUACUAAAUGGUUUUAUAGGACAGUAAUUAUUGUGGAUUUAUUUGCUUAGUUGUACUGAUCCCAAACCUACACCUGAAGACUUGUACAUGGUAGGAAACUAAGACAUUUAACUUCCCAGACGCAUAGCAGGACCCAUUGCAGCAAAUAUUUUUUCAUGGAAAGAUGCAUGUCUGCCUGGAUAGCUCAGUUACCGGUAGUUAGAGCAUGGUGCUGAUAAUGCCAAGGUUGCAAGUUCAAUCCCUGUAUUGGACAGCUGCGUUGUCCUGCAUUGCAGAAGGUUGGACAAGAUGAUCCUCAGGAUCCCUUCCAACUCUACAAUUCUAUGAUUCUUUGCAUUUAUAGGUAACAGGUAUGCAUUUAUAAAUAGCAGAGGUGACAGGCUCAAGAGUCCAAUGUCGUGGCAUUGACAGAGCUUUAUCAUGCUUCAACUAUCCAGUCUUCCUCUAGUUUUCUAUAGAAUCUGCACCAGUUUGCUUACAGCAAACACUCCAACUGGCUAGUUGUUUGUAUCACUAGUGCUGUCAGCUUCCACACGAACAUUGUUAGGGGAAAUAUUUUUGUGUGUAAUGGCAAUUUCAAGAGUUUCUGACAAACUUGCCUUCUCCAGAUCUAGCAAAGCACCCAUCUGAUAGGUUGUGUUGUCUAUGCAUAGAUUUAUGCUUUGAUGUGUAGCAUUGCUAAACUUUACAGUAGGCUAGUUGCAGCCAGCUGGGCAGCAGCUCGAGUUGUUUCUUCUCAAGUUUGUCUCCAUAGUUGAAGAUGCCCUUCAAACUUAUUGCAUCGGUGAAGUUACUGUACCUUUUGGGUCCUUUUGGGUCCUUUGUUGCCAAUAGGCCAGGGUUCUUCCUAAAGGCACAUUUUGUGAACUGCCCCUUAGAUCUUUGGAUGAAGGGCAGUAUAUAAAUGUAAUAAAUACAUAAAAUAAUAGUCACUGUUAAAUACUGCGAACAUCCAGAAUUCAGUAGGAGAUCUGAUGCUGGGCCUGUGCAGAAAACCUGUUGCAUAGCUCUGUAUGAAUCUGGCUCAGGCUGUAUAGUGGCCACUGAGAGGUCUUUCGGCCCACCAGGGUAUAGAUCAGGCCUGGGGGCAUCUCUAACGGUGUACAUGUCUGUUCACACCUUUGAUCCCAUGCAUGGUCUGAAGGUCUCUGGGAAGACUUAAUUUGGCCCAGUGUGAGGUGACAGCUUAAGAAUUAUUAAUUCUAGUAGGGUAGAUUGUUUAGUGGAGUUCUCUUGAGUAGAUUCUGCCAGCAUUAAUGACUUGGUGGAACUUCAAUGUAUCAAUGGUAGUAGACCAAUGCUGGUGGGUCUACAAAAGAAGUUUAAAGACUGUCUCAAGGCAAAUCUAAAAAAAAUGUAGUAUAAACACUGACAACUAGGAAACACUGGCCUGCGAGUGCUCCAGUUGGAGAACAGCCUUUACCAAAGGUGUCAUGGGCUUUGAAGACACUCGAUCUCAGGACGCAAGGGAGAAACGUGCUAAGAGGAAGGCACGCUUGGCAAAUCCACACCAUGAUAAACUCCCACCCGGAAACAAAUGUCCCCACUGUGGAAGGACACGUGGAUCCAGAAUUGGCCUCCACAGUCACUUACGGACCCAUUGUUAAAACCGUGUUUAUGGAAGACAAUCUUACUCGGAUACGAGUGAUCGCCAAAGAAGAAGAAGAAGAGUAGACCAAUAACACUUGGUUAUCCCUAUCAGAGCGCCAUGUCCUACAGUGGGUGAGGCAAAGGAAUUCCUAGCUCUGCAUUGCCUAGAUUCCUGCAACUUCCUAUUGAGCAACUGGUAUCAUAGACACUACAUAAGUCACAGAUAUUCCAUAUGGUUAACUUCCAGGUGUAUUUAUCCUUCACCUAGUGAAGGUCGCAUCGGCGGCUGCUGCCGCCUCUCUCCUUUGUUCAAGUUUAAAAAGGAUGCCAACCAUAUGCUCAGGUAGGAACUGUUUGGCACUAUUAUGUACUUCACAAUGGUCCUCCCAGUAACCAUUGUAAAAAGAGGUGGAGGGGGAUGUGGACUUGGGUUGAACAUCUGCAGUGACCCUUGAAUUAAACAAGUUUCCCAGUGGCAUAGAAAAUACAAUAGCUGCUUGCCUAACGGGAAUUGCUUACUCUAGUAAUUUUGUGUGUUUGCUUGCUGCUCGUUCUAAAAGGCUUGAAAUGUGAAUAUCCUCAUGCCUUUCUUGGGGCAGGGUACAUGGAAGUGCUGUUGAUUCAGUGUUGCCAUUUGUUUGCAUAAUAACAUCAAUGUAUGUGGUGUGUUUCCAAUAAUGUGGGAAAACAAACAAAAAGAGGCUCUUGCCCAAGGAACAUGCAUUCUCUAAUUUAGACAACAAAGGGGAUAACAAAAUAAGGGAAGGGAAGGGCAGACCAUGUAUAUUUGUUCUCAAAACACUCAGGUGACCACUGGUUAUUCAUUUCUUUAUUCAGUCUUUGUUUGGACUUGUAAGACCUGAAGCUUGAAGCAUGAAGAAUUGGUCCAAUAAAAUAAAUAGUUGUGGUAAGGUUAGGAAAUUGGGAGCACUGCACAGGUUUUCAUACUCCUCCCCCUCCACACAUUAAUUCCUCCUCCUUCUCCUCCUCCUUCAUUUUUUUAAUGAGCUAAUUGUAAAGCCAUGCUAUUUUUGCUAGCUAUGGUUCAUCUCCAAAUCCUAGUUUGCAACCAUGGUUACAAGUGGACUCGCAAACUUUGGUUUCAGUAAUUCAGUUAACAAUGGCAGAAAUGCUGUAACACAAACAUUAUGCUAGCUGAGCUUGGCUCAGAAAAUGAAAGGUAGUGGGGAAUCCACAAAGGUAAGGAGGGAAGACCCUGCAAGCCUGAGAAGAGAAGGGGUAGGAGUCUACCAGCUUUGGUGCAUUGGAGUUCCACCAAGUAAUUAGGGCUGGCAGAAUCUGCUCAAUAUAACUCCACUGAAUAAUUUCAUGAGAUGCUCCCAGCCUGCAAGUAGUGGCUAUGAGAUUCAGCAGUAUUGUAUCACCACAGCAAUCUUCUACAUUUGCAGGGCCAAUAUGACUGCAGAGAUCUUGACUGUUUAGAUAGCCUGUUUGUGUAUUGGAGCCCUGAUUUGGGUGUACCACUGACUGCUGUUCCAAUAACCCCAGGCUGUGGUCUUGGUUCACUGUAAAUAGCCUGCCAAAGUGCUGAGCCAGCAGGGCCAUAGUGCACUGUGCAGGUGCAACUCCCACAAUCUGAGCUGCUUAGUCAAUACAAUGUCUCGGUCACCACCUCAAAUAUCUUAUCAGGCAGUAAAUAAGAUCAAUCAUAUUUGUACAGGGUGUUACCUUUAUGCAUUGUACCCUGUCCUCUUUCACAUAAAAAAAUGCACCAUGUGCAAAAAGCUUAAAUUACUUCCUUGUUGCUUUUUGCAAUGUGCAGGAAAGGCUUGCUUUUUUAAUUUUGCAAAGCCAGGAGUGAAAUAAUUUGUGUGUGUUUCAGUGCCAGUUACUGCUGUGGCUGUGGCGGAAUAAUAAAAGGCAGAUUCAAAGGAUGAGUGGUGUUGGUGGUAGUGAAGGGAAAUGUACAGCAUUUCUCCACUGGAAAUGGUACCAGAGUGGAUAGUAUGGUACUUGGUUAAUAGACUGGCCUAAUGGCCUAUAGAGAGGCCACACUGGCAAAAAAAGAGGACACACGUCCUCUAAAAAGAGAGCCCUUAUUUGUAUAAAAUGCACAUAUGCAUAAAUGCAAAUUUUAAACCAUUUACCCUAAUUUAAAUAGAAAUGCAAUACAUCUCACUAUAGAGGGGAAUGUUGCGACCAGGUGACUUGUGUGCCAGCUCAUUGUGCUGUCCAGUGCUAUUGAUGGGGCAACUUCAAGGUUUUCACUUCUUAUUUGAACCUGAACUUAGACUUUCAAAUCAGAGGCCUGUCCUCUGUAAAAUAGGACAUCUGCCCACCCUGAAUUUUUUAGCUAAAUGUCAUCCCCUGUGGUUUCCAUUUGGUUCUUGGGUUACCAAUUCAGAAGAGAAUGCAUAUAAAGGAAUUAUUGGUUUCUCAUGUGCAAAGUUGCCCACUCACAAUCAGUCAAAGUAGCUUCUGGCCAGACUCAUCCGUUGCUGACAAUUGCAUAAAGAAGUGGUGUCCUUCUGCUUUCUAAAUCAAAACUUUUAAAUAAACCCAAAACUGUGCUUUAUGCGUGCACAUAUGUUCCUCUGUAGCUCUAAUGUUUCCUGUUUUUAUGCCAUGGAGUUUUCACUGCGACUGUCUAGGAUUUAACAUGUUGCCCUCUGCUGUGGUUGAGAGCUGCAUUUCUUUUUUUCUACAGCCCUAUAGCUUGUUGCGUGCAAAGUUUGUACGCUAGUAAAACAGUGUCAGUCCUCAUUUGAAUGGGAAGGAUGUCCAGCUAGAGUUUAUUAACAACAGAAUUAAAGUCUGAUUUCUCUGAUCCUGCCUCAGAUAACCUAAUGAAAGCCACAUAACAAUGGAUAACAUUAUUUUGCAUCAGAAGUUGGAGAGGAGGAGGUUGUAGCCCUUUAAUGGUUUUAUUCUUUUGCAAACAUUAAUCAGUGGUCAGAAAGACUUGACUAGAAUUGAUCCCAUGCCCAGAUGGCAUGUCUGGGGACCAAUUGAACUGCCCCAGCCUUUCUUCACUAGUCCUAGUUGGUUCAUUUGGCUGGCAGGGAGCUGUGCCGGACAUGCCAUUGGUGCAACAGGCCUCACGGUAGGAAACAGACAACAUGCAUCAUGGAAACACAAUUCUCUGUACUGCCAUUCUUUCGGUCUUCCAUGCCAUAAUGAAUGAAUGCCAUAGGAAAUGGCUCUCUGUUCAUAUGUAAUGUCAAUUCAACUGGCAGUAGGCCUGUCCCAGAUGUUUUAUAAAAACGAAAGCAAUUACAACUAAAUCCAACUUUAAAUGUUCUGCUUCAGAGGUCAGCAACUUCUUUGGCCUUGAGAGGCCACAUGAGAUGGUGGGGCACUGGCAUCCUUAUCUGCAUCCACACAUGCACAGAGGAAGAGGGAGGCAACGUGGCUGCAGGUGUGGGGUAGGGGAUGAAUUAGGCAGGGGUUGACUGGACAGUUGACAUUGGACCGCAGGGAAGAGGUUACCCACUGGGAUCUUGAAGUGAACUCUCCUUGGGGAUUUUUAAGCAGAGGUGGGAUGGCCACCUGUCAUGGAUGCUUUAGUUGAGAUUCUUGCAUUGUAGGGGGUUGGGCUAGAUGACUCUUGGGGUCCCUUCCAACUCUACAAUUUUAAGAUUCUAUGAUCUACUUGAUAGACCGAAUCCCCACAUAAUGGAAAGGACGUUUUUAGUUUUACUGUGUGUUGGGGUAGGAAUAGGUGUUUGACUCUGUGAACUUUGAGUUCUGUGAUUCUCUGAGUGCUCCACCCUGUGCUCUGCGCAGCUGGGCAUAAAUCCCACAUUUAUGUUUGCUGGAAAUUAUAUGGUUUUGUCGCAUGUGAAAAAAUGAACAUAAAAAUAAAACACAUUCACACUACAUGGAGGUUCUACUGUCCAUCCAGUUGUUAUCCACAGAUUCACAACGUAUUACUGUAUGCCCAAACGUCACUGCAUGCACAGGUGAUUUAAAUAUUGAAACAUCUGGGGUUUGCCCACUUCCGUACUUCUUGUGGUUUGCUGGUCGGCAGCAGUCAUUUUCAGUCAGAAACCAUGGAGAGGGAGGGGAGAGAGAAAUCAGAGAGCAGGAGAGAUCGGACAAAGCAGUUUCUCCUUUGUUUCUCUUUUUCUAGCUGACUGCAGCCAUUUUAGGAAGAAACCAUGGUGGCAGGAGGGGAGAGAAAUACAGUACAGCCAUACCUCAGUUUAAGUACGCUUCAGUUUGAGUACCCGUCUGGAACGGAUUAAUCCAAUUUCCAUUACUUUCAAUGGGAAAGUUCGCUUCAGGUUAAGUACAGACUUCCGGAACCAAUUGUGUACUUAAACCGAGGUACCACUGUAAUGGAUUAGAAAUGUUCCCAAAGCAAUCUGUGGAAAACGUGGACUCGUUAUGCAAAC